rnacentral:misc_RNA from 1 species
GAAAUGCGAUAACUAAUGUGAAUUGCAGAAUUCAGUGAAUCAUCGAGUCUUUGAACGCACAUUGCGCCCCCUGGUAUUCCGGGGGGCAUGCCUGUCCGAGCGUCAUUGCUGCCCUCAAGCCCGGCUUGUGUGUUGGGCCCUCGUCCCCCGGCUCCCGGGGGACGGGCCCGAAAGGCAGCGGCGGCACCGCGUCCGGUCCUCGAGCGUAUGGGGCUUCGUCUUCCGCUCCGGUAGCGGACGGGCCCCAAAUGGAGUGUGCGGCGCGGUGCGCUUGGCUGCAGUGUAUGGGAACAUCUCACACUCGCGGUGCGUCACCACGCUCGUCUCUAGACAUCUUCUCUCGGUUUGACCUCGGAUCAGGUAGGGAUACCCGCUGAACUUAAGC